rnacentral:misc_RNA from 1 species
UUUCCGUAGGUGAACCUGCGGAAGGAUCAUUAUUGGAUUUUGAAACUUCAGGCUGCUGCUGGCUCUCCUCGGAGGGCAUGUGCACGCUUGUUGUCCAUUAUUUCUCCCACUGUGCACAAAUUGUAGACCUUUCAGUAGGCCUAAGUUGUUUUUCACAAUCUCUGAAUGUAAUAGAAUGGUUUUGAAUCUUGGGAAAUACAAUACAACUUUCAGCAACGGAUCUCUUGGCUCUC